rnacentral:rRNA from 1 species
AACGAACGCUGGCGGCAUGCCUAACACAUGCAAGUCGAACGAGACCUUCGGGUCUAGUGGCGCACGGGUGCGUAACGCGUGGGAACCUGCCCUUAGGUUCGGCAUAACUCCCCGAAAGGGGUGCUAAUACCGGAUAAUGUCCUCGGACCAAAGAUUGAUCGCCUUUGGAUGGGCCCGCGUUGGAUUAGCUAGUUGGUAGGGUAAAAGCCUACAACGGCUACGAUCCGUAGCUGGUCUGAGAGGAUGGUCAGCCACACUGGGAGUGAGACACGGCCCAGACUACUACGGGAGGCAGCAGUGGGGAAUAUAGGAAAAUGGGCGAAAGCAUGAUCCAGCAAUGCCGGGUGAGUGAUGAAGGCCUGAGGGUUGUAAAGCUCUUUUACCCGGGAUGAUAAUGACAGUACCGGGAGAAUAAGCACCGGCUAACUCCGUG